GACGAACCGAGCGAACGUUAUUCGGAAUCACUGGGCUUAAAGAGCGCGCAGGCGGUCGUUCAAGUCGAGUGUGAAAGCCCCCGGCUCAACUGGGGAGGGUCACUCGAUACUGAUCGACUCGAAGGCAGGAGAGGGAAGUGGAAUUCCCGGUGUAGUGGUGAAAUGCGUAGAUAUCGGGAGGAACACCAGUGGCGAAGGCGACUUCCUGGCCUGUUCUUGACGCUGAGGCGCGAAAGCUAGGGGAGCAAACGGG
rnacentral:rRNA from 1 species